rnacentral:rRNA from 1 species
CUGGGGGGUGCUAUACAUGCAAGUCGAGCGGACAGAUGGGAGCUUGCUCCCUGAUGUUAGCGGCGGACGGGUGAGUAACACGUGGGUAACCUGCCUGUAAGACUGGGAUAACUCCGGGAAACCGGGGCUAAUACCGGAUGGUUGUCUGAACCGCAUGGUUCAGACAUAAAAGGUGGCUUCGGCUACCACUUACAGAUGGACCCGCGGCGCAUUAGCUAGUUGGUGAGGUAACGGCUCACCAAGGCGACGAUGCGUAGCCGACCUGAGAGGGUGAUCGGCCACACUGGGACUGAGACACGGCCCAGACUCCUACGGGAGGCAGCAGUAGGGAAUCUUCCGCAAUGGACGAAAGUCUGACGGAGCAACGCCGCGUGAGUGAUGAAGGUUUUCGGAUCGUAAAGCUCUGUUGUUAGGGAAGAACAAGUGCCGUUCAAAUAGGGCGGCACCUUGACGGUACCUAACCAGAAAGCCACGGCUAACUACGUGCCAGCAGCCGCGGUAAUACGUAGGUGGCAAGCGUUGUCCGGAAUUAUUGGGCGUAAAGGGCUCGCAGGCGGUUUCUUAAGUCUGAUGUGAAAGCCCCCGGCUCAACCGGGGAGGGUCAUUGGAAACUGGGGAACUUGAGUGCAGAAGAGGAGAGUGGAAUUCCACGUGUAGCGGUGAAAUGCGUAGAGAUGUGGAGGAACACCAGUGGCGAAGG